ACCAUAAACCAUCAACCAUCGUGGUUCUGGCUACUCGUGUACGUCUUGACGAGCAAGACCGCUAACGA
rnacentral:ncRNA from 1 species